rnacentral:rRNA from 1 species
GGGUCAUUAGGUUGGUCGUGCCACCGGUACGUACUGGUCUCACUGAUUCCUCCUUCCUGAAGAACCGUAAUGCCAUUAAUUUGGUGUUGCGGGGAAACAGGACUGUUACUUUGAAAAAAUUAGAGUGUUUAAAGCAAGCUAACGCUUGAAUACAUUAGCAUUGAAUAAUGAAAUAGGACGAUCGAUCCUAUUUUGUUGGUUUCUAGGAUUGACGUA